rnacentral:rRNA from 1 species
ACCUUCGGGCCUCUUGCCAUCAGAUGUGCCCAGAUGGGAUUAGCUAGUAGGUGGGGUAACGGCUCACCUAGGCGACGAUCCCUAGCUGGUCUGAGAGGAUGACCAGCCACACUGGAACUGAGACACGGUCCAGACUCCUACGGGAGGCAGCAGUGGGGAAUAUUGCACAAUGGGCGCAAGCCUGAUGCAGCCAUGCCGCGUGUAUGAAGAAGGCCUUCGGGUUGUAAAGUACUUUCAGCGGGGAGGAAGGCGUUGAGGUUAAUAACCUCAGCGAUUGACGUUACCCGCAGAAGAAGCACCGGCUAACUCCGUGCCAGCAGCCGCGGUAAUACGGAGGGUGCAAGCGUUAAUCGGAAUUACUGGGCGUAAAGCGCACGCAGGCGGUCUGUCAAGUCGGAUGUGAAAUCCCCGGGCUCAACCUGGGAACUGCAUUCGAAACUGGCAGGCUAGAGUCUUGUAGAGGGGGGUAGAAUUCCAGGUGUAGCGGUGAAAUGCGUAGAGAUCUGGANGNGAANUACCNGGUGGCGAAGGCGGCCCCCUGGACAAAGACUGACGCUCAGGUGCGAAAGCGUGGGGNGUCAANCAGGAUUAGAUACCCUGGUAGUCCACGCCGUAAACGAUNGUCGACUUGGAGGUUGUGCCCUUGAGGCGUGGCUUCCGGAGCUAACGCGUUAAGUCGACCGCCUGGGGAGUACGGCCGCAAGGUUAAAACUCAAAUGAAUUGACGGGGGCCCGCACAAGCGGUGGAGCAUGUGGUUUAAUUCGAUGCAACGCGAAAAACCUUACCUACUCUUGACAUCCAGAGAACUUUCCAGAGAUGGAUUGGUGCCUUCGGGAACUCUGAGACAGGUGCUGCAUGGCUGUCAUCAGCUCGUGUUGUGAAAUGUUGGGUUAAGUCCCGCAACGAGCGCAACCCUUAUCCUUUGUUGCCAGCGGUUAGGCCGGGAACUCAAAGGAGACUGCCAGUGAUAAACUGGAGGAAGGUGGGGAUGACGUCAAGUCAUCAUGGCCCUUACGAGUAGGGCUACACACGUGCUACAAUGGCGCAUACAAAGAGAAGCGACCUCGCGAGAGCAAGCGGACCUCAUAAAGUGCGUCGUAGUCCGGAUUGGAGUCUGCAACUCGACUCCAUGAAGUCGGAAUCGCUAGUAAUCGUAGAUCAGAAUGCUACGGUGAA